rnacentral:rRNA from 1 species
UACGUAGGGCGCAAGCGUUGUCCGGAAUUAUUGGGCGUAAAGAGCUCGUAGGCGGCUUGUCGCGUCGGAUGUGAAAGCUCGGGGCUUAACCCCGGGUCUGCAUUCGAUACGGGCAGGCUAGAGUGUGGUAGGGGAGAUCGGAAUUCCUGGUGUAGCGGUGGAAUGCGCAGAUAUCAGGAAGAACACCCGUGGCUAAGGCGGCUCUCUAGUACGGUACUGACGCUGAGACGCGAAAGCGUGGGGAGCGAACAGG